UACAUGGGGUGCAAACGUUGCUCGGAAUUAUUGGGCGUAAAGGGCGCGUAGGCGGCCACCGCAAGUCGGUUGUGAAAUCUCUGGGCUUAACCCAGAAAGGUCAACCGAUACUGCGGGGCUAGAGUGCAGAAGGGGCAACUGGAAUUCUCGGUGUAGCGGUGAAAUGCGUAGAUAUCGAGAGGAACACCUGCGGCGAAGGCGGGUUGCUGGGCUGACACUGACGCUGAAGCGCGAAAGCUAGGGGAGCGAACGGG
rnacentral:rRNA from 1 species